rnacentral:lncRNA from 1 species
GUGGCAUGGAGGAAUUCUUUCCCAUCUAAAAUACUUUCAAGAUAAGAAAAUAAAUCAAAUAAAUUAGAUCUAAUCUAAUUAGAUCAAUGGGAAUAGGUUAAGACUAACUCAAAUUUAUUUGAACUAACCUAAUUGAAAACUUGAGUUAAUAUAAUGUGCUAGCAUAUCAAAUUAACCCUUAAAAUUUAUAUUAAAUCCUAAUUAAAUUAGAUCAAGAUCAAAUCCCAAAGCGUAUGACUCAUUAGGCUCGAAAUCUAGCUAGCAGUGGAC